rnacentral:lncRNA from 1 species
UGAGUUUAUGGCUGAUGACCUCUGGGGCGAUGCCGAGCAUGUCUUCGUAGGACCAUGCGAAUACUUCCGAAUGGUUCCGCAAGAAAUUUAUGAAUUGCGUUCAGAGGGCAGGAGCGAGUCUGGUGCCGAUUCUAACCCGACGAUCGGGCUGCUCCUCGCUCAAGGUUAUCCUCUCCAGUUCUUCGGCGGGUUGUGUGUGAGGAGUCGGGGACUCAUCUCUUGGGUCGUCAACUGGUCCUGUACCGUUCGGUACCCCUUGGACAGACAUGGUUUCGCCAGGGAGUUGGAAAGAAGUUGACUUCAGGGCCGUGGCGUAGCAAGUCCGCGCGCUUAGCUGAUUUCCCCGGACAGCCCCGGUGCCGUUGGGGGUCGGGAACUUCAUCAAUAGCCUGUGGGGGGAAAGAUGUGCCUUGAUCCUGG